rnacentral:rRNA from 1 species
GACGAACGCUGGCGGCGUGCUUAACACAUGCAAGUCGAACGGAAAGGCCCUGCUUGCAGGGUACUCGAGUGGCGAACGGGUGAGUAACACGUGGGUGAUCUGCCCUGCACUUCGGGAUAAGCCUGGGAAACUGGGUCUAAUACCGGAUAGGAGCCAUUUUUAGUGUGAUGGUUGGAAAGUUUUUUCGGUGUAGGAUGAGCUCGCGGCCUAUCAGCUUGUUGGUGGGGUAAUGGCCUACCAAGGCGGCGACGGGUAGCCGGCCUGAGAGGGUGGACGGCCACAUUGGGACUGAGAUACGGCCCAGACUUCUACGGGAGGCAGCAGUGGGGAAUAUUGCACAAGGGGCGCAAGCCUGAUGCAGCGACGCCGCGGGGGGGAUGACGGCCUUCGGGUUGUAAACUCCUUUCGCUAGGGACGAAGCUUUUUGUGACGGUACCUAGAGAAGAAGCACCGGCUAACUACGUG